GCGCCAGUGAUGUAGCUGGUAUCAUGCAAGAUUCCCAUUCUCGUAACCCGGGUUCAAUUCCCGGCUGGCGCA